AACCUGAUCCUACACAUUUAGGGCUGAAGACUGUCUUUUUCUAGAAUGCAGUUUUCACUCCCAAAUUCCAAGCCCUUGGAGGAGAACUAAGGGUCCUUUUCUCCCUGGAUUUUCGACUAGAACACGGGCAGUGGGAGUGGGGUUGAGGGGGUUGAGAAGGGCCUGUGCCCCACUUCCUCCUGGCAGGCAGUAGGAGGCAGGAUGAGUCCCAGGCAGCAGUGGCCACGCUGGGGCAGAGGCCGCCCUCCCCAGAGACUUGUCAGCCAGCCUCAGGGAAAGGGCUGGGGCUCAAAGGAAGUUGUUUGAGAAAGAAGUGCCGUGCCUGGCCCUGUGUGUUGGUUGAGCUCCAUCGUAAAUGACACAAUCCCAGCAGAGCUGAGGUUGUUGAAUUGGGCUGGGGGCCCUCAAUGACCCACCUCUUGACCAGCCUUUCCUUAGUCUACCUUCCCCGUGCCCCUUGGGCUCUGGCAGAGUUUGCUAACUGCUGCUCUGCUCCACUUUCGAAGGCUAGAGUCUGAAAGUGCUGGGAUGGCCUGGCCUGUAGGCAGAGACAGCAUGGUGGAGGGAAGCACCCCCUGGGGUUGUGCAGCCUGUACUAGCUGUAAGCUCUCAGCCUCCUGUUUGAAUGCCUUCAGAGAGGUCUCACCUGUGCACUGAGAAAUCCAGGUGCAAAUGUGUUGUGAGCAGGUUGAGGCUCUUUACUCCAGUGGCCUGAUGCAGACCCUGAUGAACCUCUGAGUGAGGCCGAGGGCCACCUUGGCCUAGUGGGUGUCCUAGCUGGAGGCUCACUGAGGAGGGUGGGCCCUCCUCCUCUGCCUAGGACCCCACCCCACCCUGACAGCUAUGUGACAGGAUCCCCCAGACUGGGCUGCCUUGAGGGCAGAUUUCUGGGGAGGUUUGUGUUAAUCUCCAGGGCUAAUCCUCAAAGCCCUGUGUCUCUGUGUCAGGUUGGAUUUGCAGCCUGGCUGCCUUAGGGAGAGCUGCCCCUUCCCACACCACCGACCAUGAGCCACAGCUGAAUCCCACCAUGGGAUGUCUCUGCGGGGCUGGAGAGCGGAGCCCCUCCCCUCCGUGGAGUUAUUUUGACUCCCUGUGCGGGGCUACCUGGAAGACCCUGGACACCCCAGUACGCAUGCUGUGUUGGCCUGAAGGCUGUGAACGCUGUACCAUGGUGCCACCUGGUGGACCACCUGUGCAGGAGCAUGACUACCGUCCACAAAUCGGGUCCCUUUAUCAAAUAUCCUCCCUCCUGCCUCAGAAAUUCUGCUAGCCCCAAUGGCCUUUUCCCCACUGAUGGCAGAGCUGGAAGCCUCUCCAAAGGGCGUCCCUGCGUAGGCCACUAAGGCUGGGAAAGCAUUGUUUACGUGUACCGCAUUGCAGACGUGACAGGCCAGUUUUAGCUCAGGCCGAGACUUGCUACAGCCUUUUAGGUUGUGUGUAUCUGUGUGCAUUGCGCGGACUUAACAGGCAGCUAGCCCUUCCUGGUGAGAAGCAGCAGACCUGAGGGAUGAGGCAGAAGCUCAAACAGCACCUUGUUGCUUUCUGUUCUGGCGCCUACAACAUGUCACACGGCAGCAUACCUUUUACGCCGACGUUCGGGACAGGAGCCUCGUGGGUGUUAGACUUUGGGGACACAUCGUAGACAAGAGAGAUGGGGUCCCUGCCCUCUGGGAAUGACAGUCUGCUGGGAGAGACAGGCACCAAUCAAUCAGCAAACAAAAAUAAAGCUACAGUUGUGAAAAAUCCUAAGCGGGGGAAAGCGGGGCUGGAUUUUAGCUUGCGGUCAGGAGAAGGGGACGUUUACACUGUGACAAAGUCAGCCAGACAAAGUGAAGGGCGACGGGUGAAGAUCCCCAGCAAAGGGAGUGCCCCCAGAAGCUGCUGGAGUGUCCACCCCAGGGCCCGUUAGUGCACCAGAGCCUCCAGGAAGGGCCCGAACAAUGUGUCCCCAUGGUCACGUGGUUUUGUAAAAACUGCGUAAAUAAAACCCUUUAACUGCAAUCUGUUAAGAUCACUGACCUUUCCUUCCUCCAUGGGUCUGGUGCUCAGAGUGGCUGGGCAGGGUAUUGCUAGGACCUGGCUAAGGGGACGCUGAGUUGGGGGAGUCUGUUUGGGUUUCAGGAGAUGUGCUUACUUGGCUGCAGCAUUCCGUGUAUGGUCAAAGUUCAGCUGGCCAAGCUGGGGCUUGAACAGCUCUUCGCCUCCUGCCCGCUGUGCCAGGCGGAGAGGUGCAGCUCCUGGGCCAAAGUGAACGGCCCCCUGGCAGGUGGGGAUUGGAGGGGGAAGAGGUUUGAACUGUGCAAAGGCAGAGGCCGGAAUAUUGUUUUGGAUUUUGUGAUGUUUGUGGAAUUUGUCAGCUUUUGAAAACUUGUCAUUUGUUUUAACUUUUCUCAUUCUAAAUACGUUUUCACUUUUCUACCUAAUUUUUGGUUUUUAAGGAACCCUUGCCCUCCAGCUGUAUGUAUGCCUCUGGGAUCUUCCCCAUCUGAGGAGCCUGGGUGUUUUCUCUUCCACGGCUGGAGCUGAAUGGGUGCUCAGGGGGUGUCUCUGGGGUCAGAGCAG